rnacentral:pre_miRNA from 1 species
CAGUUGUGAGCACAGAAGGCAGGCAGGACUCAGGACAAUCUCCAGCAUGGCCUGGUUUCCUCUCCUCCUCACCCUCCUUGCACACUGCACAGGUGA